rnacentral:misc_RNA from 1 species
UUUCCGUAGGUGAACCUGCGGAAGGAUCAUUAAAGAGUUAAGAUCUUCGAGAUCGACUGCCAACCUUUCGUCUAAGUACCAUGUUGCUUGGGAGGACCCGCCUAACGACCGCCAGCAGUUUGAGGCGACCCCCCAACUAUUGGACCAUGUCUGUCAAUGGCCCUAUUCAAAUUCUUGUUAAAUUGAGAUGUCUGAGUUAUAAACUUAAUAGUUAAAACUUUCAACAACGGAUCUCUUGGUUCUG